rnacentral:rRNA from 1 species
AGUGGCAAACGGGUGAGGAAUAGGUGAGAAUCUACCUUUAAGAGGAGGACAACAAUUGGAAACAGUUGCUAAAACUCCAUAUGCCUUAGGGUGAAAAAGUGUAAACUGCUUAAAGAGGAGCUCACGUCUGAUUAGCUAGUUGGUGGGGUAAUGGCUCACCAAGGCGACGAUCAGUAGCUGGUCUGAGAGGAUGAUCAGCCACACUGGAACUGAGACACGGUCCAGACUCCUACGGGAGGCAGCAGUGGGGAAUUUUCUGCAAUGGGCGAAAGCCUGACAGAGCAAUACCGCGUGAGGGAAGAAAGCCUACGGGUUGUAAACCUCUUUUCUCAAGGAAGAAGAUCUGACGGUACUUGAGGAAUAAGCAUCGGCUAACUCUGUGCCAGCAGCCGCGGUAAUACAGAGGAUGCAAGCGUUAUCCGGAAUUACUGGGCGUAAAGCGUCUGCAGGUGGACUUUUAAGUCCUUUGUGAAAGCCUGAGGCCUAACCUCAGUUUAGCAAAGGAAACUAAAAAUCUUGAGGAUGGUAGAGGUAGAGGGAAUUUCCAGUGGAGCGGUGAAAUGCGUAGAGAUUGGAAAGAACACCAAUGGCGAAAGCACUCUACUGGGCCAUUACUGACACUCAGAGACGAAAGCUAGGGGAGCAAAUGGGAUUAGAUACCCCAGUAGUCCUAGCCGUAAACGAUGGAUACUAGACGUU